AAGAAAUAUGAAGACAAAUUUGGGGUCACCUGACCCCCUUUCCAACAAAUCAACCCAAAUAAAUUGGUUUUGACACCAUUCUAAAUUUACCUAGUUUCCCUCCAAAGGCGUAUGAGUGAGUUUGGAAGAGAGUUAUGACAGCUGUGUGCAUUACCUUCGCCACAAUCAGUCUCUUCUCCAGGGUAGUUAGCUCCACAUCCCUAAACUCCCAUUGCUCCUGGUCACCAGAGGAUGCUCCAGCAGGUCCAGAUCCUGUAACUC
rnacentral:rRNA from 1 species